rnacentral:rRNA from 1 species
AUACGUAGGGGCCAAACGUUGUCCGGAUUUAUUGGGCGUAAAGGGCUCGUAGGCGGUUCAACAAGUCGGUCGUGAAAACCCGGGGCUCAACCCCGGGACGCCGGUCGAAACUGUUGUGACUAGGGUCCGGUAGAGGUGAGUGGAAUUCUCGGUGUAGGGGUGGAAUGCGCAGAUAUCGAGAGGAACACCAGUAGCGAAGGCGGCUCACUGGGCCGGUACCGACGCUGAGGAGCGAAAGCGUGGGGAGCAAACAGGAUUAGAAACCCCAGUAGUCC